rnacentral:lncRNA from 1 species
UCUCCAUCGAGGAAAUAAUUAUGCCUAAAAUGGCCAUAUUAAUUUCAUAAUUUAUAUAGUGACAUGUCGGCAUUGAUUUUGGUUUUUGGUGUAAUUUUGUUCUACACCUUUAUUUCUUUCUCAGGUAUGUAACACAAUACCGUCUUAUAUAUCUAAUUAUGUAAUUUCUUUUUUUAAAUUUGUAACCGUUCAUUGGAUAUUAAAAACAUUUACAAAUACUCUCAAGUGUUAACGUGUUGCAAAUAUGUUGUCUGCAUUAGAACAGUGCUGUUUGAAAAUGCGUAAAUAAAAACAGUAUAAUCAAAUGUAUCCCGUUUGUUAUAGUCUUCUAAUUUACCAGAUUUUUCAUUUUAUAACAGAUUCUUACAAAGUUAACUUAGGAAUGCCACAUUUAGUUCCUCUUACCCUUAACCACCGAAUAAAUUUCCCGGAGAUACUCAUUUCUAUAUUCCCAUGUAAUGUUUGUAUCCUGGUAUCUAUGAUGAGUUAAUUUACAUGCUAUUUUUGCGUCUGUCAAAUUGUGUUAUCAUAUUGCAAUGGACGCGUAUAACACUCCGGUACAUGGUUUUCUUAUCUUUGAAUUCUUUAUAUCAAAGCAAUUAAGGAUUGAAUAAUCAUGUCUUUUAUUUGAUUUGAUUUAAAUUUUGGUGUUUUAAUGCCACUUUUUAUGCACCGCAUUUAGGCUAUUUCGUGGCGGCCAGUUUUUAUUGGUGAAGUUUGUUGGAGUGCCCGGGGAAAACCACACACCUUGGAUAGGAAUCAUGUUUUUGAACACAUUCAUCAAAAAUAAUAAUUAUAUCAAUAAUAUAUAUAGGUGAUGCAAUAGGUUGAUUUCUAGCUAUUGGACUUUUAUCUUUUAUUUUCCCAAUCCAGUAAAAUGUUCAGUAUAUUGUUAUUGUAAAAUAAUAUAUGCUUACCUUUUUGUAUCUGCUUGUUUAAGACGGUACAGUGCAGUGGUAUGAAGCCGUCAAGUUAUGUAAACAAAAAGGGCAGCUAUUAAUCCCAGAAAAAUUGAGCAAUGAAUCUAGGUUUGGGUACAGACAAG